GUCCUCAAAAGCUACCUUUAGCUUAUCCAUAAAAGCUGACCUGGGCUUCAAACUGCAGUGCUGACUGUAUUUUCAGAAGGAAGAGCUGCAGAGUCAGCUAUGCAGAAUGUCGCCACGUGUAGGAAUCUCGUAUUCUAAGGACAGCAUGAAAGGGGAGCAACCAAGGAUUUGGGUGAAUGAUUGCAGUAAGCAUCAUGCUUUUCAUCCUACUACUGUGCCAAGUGAAUUUCUGUGACUCAUUUAACAGCAAGAGCCUCUUCUAUUGACCAGAGCAAAAAGGAGAAUUCUCUUAUUCAUGCUAGAAGCAGCAUUUGGGGGUGACAUGCCCUGGUCCCACCCUUCCCAACAUCCAAUAACAUAAUUGGCACCUGGAAAUGAUUAUUAAGAAUUACAGCAUUUGCCUCAACAAAUUAACAUCAUAUAAUUAAGAGAUAAUCUAUCUAUAAACAUAGCAUGCCCUGUUGUUUGUGCUCUUCAGGUUUUUACCCUGGAACCAGAUGGAAAAAAAUUGACUAGUUUUUAUAAAACAGAAAGUGAGACAGAAUUUUGGAAAUUAUCUCAUGUAUGCUUGUUUAUUACAACCAGUGUCAUUUGUCUCUAAAUCUCCAGUGUUUUCAUGUAGAGGUUAUCAAACAUUGGCAGCAACACUCUUGAGUGUGGCCUGAAUGACAUUAAAGUGUAAUUGGGAAAUAUUUAAUAAAAUAAAUAAAAAUACUA